GUCCCAGUUCGGAUUGCAGGCUGNAACCCGCCUGCAUGAAGUUGGAAUCGCUAGUAAUCGCGGAUCAGCAUGCCGCGGUGAAUACGUUCCCGGGCCUUGUACACACCGCCCGUCACACCAUGAGAGUCGGGAACACCCGAAGUCCGUAGCCUAACCGCAAGGGGGGCGCGGCCGAAGGUGGGUUCGAUAAUUGGGGUGAAGUCGUAACAAGGUACC
rnacentral:rRNA from 1 species